CUUUCAUCUUUGUCUCCCGGUGCUCUGUGGAGUGGACGCUCCAGAUGCCUCCCUGAGGCUGACCCCAUCACGGAACACUCGGAUGGCAAGAGAGCUCUGGAGGCCAGUGUGUCCGUGCUAUUCCCAGCUCUGACCCAGAGGAGGCUCCCAGUAGGUAUUUGUGGAAUGAAUGAAUGAGUGGAGGCUGAUAGUUAGGUUUCUGGUUGGUUGAAAAUGUUUCUGAAAGGUGAGUGGUGGGUGCUCAGACUCGCACUGAGAAGCAGCAGGGCCUGCCCUACCUCCCUCAGAUCGCAGCUAACGCCAGGCUGCUGCUGCUUACCGUGCCCUCGAGAGCUGGUCUCUAAAAACUUCAGCUCUUUGGGGGCACCACCUGUUGAUAGCGGCCCUGAGGACAGGACUUGGCUUUCUCACGUCCCCCUCCCUGCCACUGUCUGCCAUGGCCAUCCUGAGUGAUCUAGGAACCGUAUUGGGCCGCGGAGCAUUUACUGUGGGGCAAGCCGCACAACUGUCCCUGCCUAGCCCUCAUUUUUUGGGAAGACGACAUCCGCCUCAUUCACUUGCCUCGUUUUCUAUUUCUGGAUAUUGUUUCUGUCCCCCCAUCAUUGGUUCCAUCUCCCAGAUGCUCCUGUGAGCCAGCUUCCUUUCUCCCUGGAGAUUCCCUCUCUGGUGUCCCCCGGCCUCCUGUUCCCAUGUGGACAGUGGGCUCAGUACCCUACAGGGACCCCGGGUGGGUGUGGGCCCUUCCCUCUGCUCCUCUCCCCUCUGCCUUUACUCUUGUUGAUGGAGUCACUCUCUAGAGGCUCCCUCUGAGCAUCUGCCUCUGGCUGUUCCCUGGCUACUGACGGCCUUUCUGGAAGCAUUUGUGAAGAUGGGGGCGCCUCAGCUUCCAGAUGCAGACUUUCCUGAAUUCCCCAGUGUUCAGCCCUAAGGCCUGGCCGCCUGAGUUCCAGAGCGCCUGUGUCCACUUGCUCCGGAGAGCAAACCUCCGGGCUCCUGCAGGGGUCCCAGAGGCACAGGAGGGGCCUGGAGUGCCUCACCCGCCCUCCCCUCGGCCACCCCACCGGCCUCUGGAAAGUUCUCUCUGCCCUCCCUUGUCUUUUAGAGGCUAAUCCUUGGGCAGGAGAAAGUGGAUGCUUACCUGUUUCCAGAUGUGGUAAAGGCCUGAGAAACCGACGGGGACAGACAUGCUCACUCUCCAAAUCAGAAGCCCAGCUUAGAAAGCACGUGAUGCCUGGAAGGGUCUGCGUGGCCCCCGAUGAGGCCUCGGAUCCUGCCAGCACCCAGCAUGUGACCAAGCCUGGGCUGGUCUGCUGACAAGUGACAGGCCCUGCUGAGGCAAAGACGACCUGUCCACUGCCCACCCACAGAAUCAAUAGCCACACCGUAGUUGCUUCCAGCCAGCCCUGGAGACCAGAAGGCCAACAUCAACGUGUCCUGGGGUUGGAUCCUUUCUGCUUCUUGCAGCUUCUGGUGUCCCUUGGCUUGUGGCUACAUCACUCCAGUCUCUACCUGUUGUCACGUGGCUUCUCCUCUGUGUCCUUUCAUCUUGUAGGACGCUGGUCAUUGGGUUUAGGGUCCACCCGAAACCCAGGAUGACCUCAUUUUGAGAUUUUUUUUUUCCUCCCCAAAGCCCCUGUCUCAGUUGCCAUGCUGUGGUAGCAGCUCACGUAGAAGGAUCUACAACUAGAUGCAUACAACUAUGUGUGUGUCUAGUAUGUAUCUAGGUAGUGUGGUUCCGUGAUGGGAAGUGAACCCAGGCCAAAGCCGUGAGAGCGCCAAAC
rnacentral:lncRNA from 1 species